rnacentral:rRNA from 1 species
ACGGGGCCCGGCACAAGACGGUGGAGUAUGUGGUUAAUUCGAUGCAACGCGAAGAACCUUACCUGGUCUUGACAUCCCGGAGACCCUUAGGAAACUAGGGGUGCUUCCAUCUGGAAGAAUCUGGAGACAGGUGCUGCAUGGCUGUCGUCAGCUCGUGUCGUGAGAUGUUGGGUUAAGUCCCGCAACGAGCGCAACCCUUGCCUUUAGUUGCCAGCAGUUCGGCUGGGCACUCUAAAGGGACUGCCGGUGUUAAACCGGAGGAAGGUGGGGAUGACGUCAAGUCCUCAUGGCCUUUAUGACCAGGGCUACACACGUACUACAAUGGCCGAUACAAAGGGCAGCGACACUGCGAGGUGAAGCCAAUCCCGUAAAAUCGGUCUCAGUCCGGAUUGGAGUCUGCAACUCGACUCCAUGAAGUUGGAAUCGCUAGUAAUCGUGGAUCAGCAUGCCACGGUGAAUACGUUCCCGGGCCUU